GCCAGGCACUGUGGUGCAUGCCUGUAAUCCCAGCGGCUUGGGAGGCUGAGGCAAGAGGAUUGUGUGUUCAAAGCCAACCUCAGCAAAAAUGACUCCCUAAGCAACUUAGUGAAACCCUGUCUCUA
rnacentral:sRNA from 1 species